UGAUGUUCAUAAAGAUGUUCACAGUAUGGUGGAAAUUUUAUCUGAAGUUGAAGAUUCACAAAGAGCUGCUGAUGUAAAGGGACCUGUCAUUGUUGUGUGCAGUGAUGGAGCAGGUCGAUCUGGAACCUAUAUUGCUAUCUCAAAUCUUGUCGACCGAGUCAAAAUUGUCCAAGCAAUGGAUGCCUUCCAAUGUAUCAAGCUAAUUCGUAAUGGACGCCCGUAGUGCGUCGAAACGGCGGAUCAAUUCAAACUCUGCUACCAUUCAGAAAUUUUACCUGAAUUGGAAGGUUUAAAAAAAACUGCUGAAGUCAAAUGAGCUGUCAUUGUUGUGUGGAGAUUUCGUUAAUCCGUCCAAGUGGUUGAUGUAUUUUAAUGCAUCUAAUUGCUGCGUUGCUCUCUGGAUCAAAGAUGCAAAAAAUCACAUUGAAACAUCGCAAGCGUAACUUACGGUGAAACAGCGCACUUUGAUUGGUUCAGAAACAUUUUUCUCUAUUC